UUCCUCCGCCGCCACCGUAGUC
rnacentral:sRNA from 1 species